AUACGUAGGGUGCGAGCGUUGUCCGGAAUUACUGGGCGUAAAGAGCUCGUAGGUGGUUUGUCGCGACGUCUGUGAAAUUCCGGGGCUUAACUCCGGGCGUGCAGGCGAUACGGGCAUAACUUGAGUACUGUAGGGGAGACUGGAAUUACUGGUGCAGCGGUGAAAUGCGCAGUUAUCAGGAGGAACACCGGUGGCGAAGGCGGGUCUCUGGGCUGUAACUGGCGCUGAGGAGCGAAAGCAUGGAUAGCGAACAGGAUUAGACGCCCUGGUUGUCCAGGCCGUAAACGGUGGGCGCUCGGUGUAGGGAUCUGCCGCGACUUCUGUGCCGUAGCUAACGUAUUAAGCGCCCCGCCUGGGGAGUACGGCCGCAAGGCUAAAACUCAAAGGAAUUGACGGGG
rnacentral:rRNA from 1 species